AUUGAACGCUGGCGGCAGGCUUAACACAUGCAAGUCGAGCGACCGGCGGACGCGUGCGUCAUGUCUGGGAAACUGCCUGCUGGCGGGGGAUAACUACUGGAAACUGUAGCUAAUACCGCAUACCAUCAUAUCUGCCCUGAUGGGAUUAGCUAGUAGGUGGGGUAAUGGCUCACCUAGGCGACGCUCCCUAGCCGGGUUGAGAGGAAGACCAGCCACACUGGAACUGAGACACGGUCAAGACUCCUAGGGGAGGCAGCGUUGGGGAAUAUUGCACAAUGGGCGCAAGCCUGAUGCGGACAGGCGGCGUGUGUGAAGAAGGCCUUCGGGUGGUAAAGCACGUUCAUCGAGGAGGCGGUACUCGCAGAAGAAGCACCGGCUAACUCCGUGCCAGAAGCCGCGGUAAUUC
rnacentral:rRNA from 1 species